rnacentral:rRNA from 1 species
UACGUAGGGGGCAAGCGUUGUCCGGAAUCAUUGGGCGUAAAGAGCGUGUAGGCGGCCCGGUAAGUCCGCUGUGAAAGUCCAGGGCUCAACCCUGGGAUGCCGGUGGAUACUGUCGGGCUCGAGUCCGGAAGAGGAGUGUGGAAUUCCUGGUGUAGCGGUGAAAUGCGCAGAUAUCAGGAGGAACACCAAUGGCGAAGGCAGCACUCUGGGAAGUGACUGACGCUGAGACGCGAAAGCGUGGGGAGCGAACAGG